UACGUAGGGUGCAAGCGUUAAUCGGAAUUACUGGGCGUAAAGCGUGCGCAGGCGGUUUUGUAAGUCUGUCGUGAAAUCCCCGGGCUCAACCUGGGAAUUGCGAUGGAGACUGCAAGGCUAGAAUCUGGCAGAGGGGGGGUAGAAUUCCACGUGUAGCAGUGAAAUGCGUAGAGAUGUGGAGGAACACCAAUGGCGAAGGCAGCCCCCCUGGGUCAAGAUUGACGCUCAUGCACGAAAGGCGUGGGGAGCAAACAGG
rnacentral:rRNA from 1 species